AGAGUUUGAUCCUGGCUCAGAUUGAACGCUGGCGGAAUGCUUUACACAUGCAAGUCGAGCGGCAGCGCGGGGCAACCUGGCGGCGAGCGGCGAACGGGUGAGUAAUGCAUCGGAACAUGUCCAUGUCGUGGGGGAUAGCCCGGCGAAAGCCGGAUUAAUACCGCAUACGCCCGAGAGGGGAAAGUGGGGGACCGCAAGGCCUCACGCGAUUGGGUUGGCCGAUGUCCGAUUAGCUAGUUGGCGGGGUAAAGGCCCACCAAGGCGAUGAUCGGUAGCUGGUCUGAGAGGAUGAUCAGCCACACUGGGACUGAGACACGGCCCAGACUCCUACGGGAGGCAGCAGUGGGGAAUUUUGGACAAUGGGGGCAACCCUGAUCCAGCCAUUCCGCGUGAGUGAAGAAGGCCUUCGGGUUGUAAAGCUCUUUUGUCCGGAACGAAACGGGUAGCGUGAAUAUCGCUGCCUACUGACGGUACCGGAAGAAUAAGCACCGGCUAACUACGUGCCAGCCGCCGCGGUAAUAC
rnacentral:rRNA from 1 species